rnacentral:rRNA from 1 species
UACGUAGGUGGCGAGCGUUGUCCGGAUUUACUAGGCGUAAAGGGCGUGCAGGCGGUUUGUUAAGUGCAGGGUGAAAGCUCCCGGCUCAACUGGGAGAGGUCCUUGCAUACUGGCGAACUCGAGGGAGGCAGAGGAAAGUGGAAUUCCCGGUGUAGUGGUGAUAUGCGUAGAUAUCGGGAGGAACACCUGUGGCGAAGGCGGCUUUCUGGGCCUUACCUGACGCUGAGACGCGAAAGCGUGGGGAGCGAACCGG